AGUGAACGCUGGCGGCGUGCCUAAUACAUGCAAGUCGAACGGAGUGGCGCAAGGGUGAGUAAUAUAUAGCUAAUCUGCCCCUUGCUGGAGGACAACAGUUAGAAAUGACUGCUAAUACUCCAUAGCAAGGGAUGAGACUAUAACGUAUCAGCUCGUCGGUGGGGGAACGGCCUACCGAGGCUAUGACGCGGAACUGGUCUGAGAGGAUGAUCAGUCACAUUGGAACUGAGACACGGUCCAAACUCCUGCGGAAGGCAGCAGUAGGGAAUAUUGCGCAAUGGGGGAGACCCUCACGCAGCAACGGGGCGUGGAGGAUGACACUUUUCGGAGCGAAAACUACUUUUGUUAGGGACGCGGUACCUAACGAAUAAGCACCGGCUCACUCCGUGCCAGCAGCCGCGGUAAUAC
rnacentral:rRNA from 1 species